GCUCCUCUUAAUUAUAUUGAAGUUGAACACGUAAGAAAAUUGAUUUAUGAUCCAGAAGCUGUAAAAAGUCAUCCAGUAAAAACGUCGAUGCCAAUAGAUGUUCGAAGAAGAAAUUAAUCUUGACACCGUUCUUCAGGCCUGGUGAUUGCAGAUUAUGAUAGCAAGAAAUAAUUCGCUACAUGAUAUUAAGCUAAACAUGAUCUACUUGUAAACGAGGAUCUAUGAGUUCAAAAAUUUAAUACAUCGAAUUACCUCAUGAAAAAAUUCCUCUUAAAUUGGCACUAGCAAUGUUAACUCAAUUUUAUGCAUCGCUUUAUGUCACUUUGGGCUUAAGUUAAAAUUGGUAAAUUGUUACAAUAUGCAUAUAUAAAGUAUUAUUGAAAAAAUAUAUAUUACUUAUAGUAAAUUUGACCGCGGAUCGAAAAUUGGCUACAAAACUAUACUUCUGAUAUAAAAAAUAUUUGGUCUGGAUUCUAGUUUGAUGUUGCCAUAUUUGUUAACUUACAUGCAGAAUAGUGUGAAGUCAAAAGAAGGACGUAGGAUAGGAUACGGAAUAAGAUACAGUGAUCUCUGGAAAAAUAACAUCAUGUUCAACCAUAGCAAUGAGCGUGUCAUGCUAGAUUAUCAAAUGUUGCGAUACGCUUCACCAGCUGUGGAUGUUGCUACGUUGGUUCACUUCAAUACGACGUCAGAAUUUCAGAAGACGAGAAAUUGAAAUUUUCAAACGCUAUUAUUCACUGUUUCAAAAGAUAUUAUGAAAUACAAAUGGGAAAUUCUAAAACCCUUUCAUGAGUACAUGUUAUUACUAUUAUUAGAUUAUGACUUAAAAGAAUUAUUAUAUAACGAGGAUAUUUGGAUCAUGGGAUACUAUAUGGAAUUAUAUACGCUGCAUUAUAUCUGCCUGGUAUUUAUUCAACUCAAUCAUUUUUUUAAAUUACUCAUUAUUCCAAAUGCACUUUCGUUUAAGUGUCGGUAUUCAAAAAUAUUGUAAUAAUUGUAGACAUGAAAUUGAUAAUCACACAUUUAUAUUAAAAAUAUGUUAAGUUUGAAU